UUUUUAAGGGUUAUCCUAUAGGAACAGCCAAAGGACCCUUUAAGAACCCUUUUUUGUAAAAACGUUAGUUGUGUGGGGUAGGAAUAACUGUCAUUGAUGUCCUAAUAAGCUGACUGUUAUCCAGUCAUGUUUUGAAGGUAAUUGCAUGGACAGUGAGACAUGGAGGUAGGUAGCUCUAAUGUAGUGGUAUGACUAACACCAUGUCCAUAACCACCUCUAUGCAGGCUGCUGGAGGGAGGGACACCGUGGCAGAGCACAGCAUGCCUGCUGCUCCUCACAACCACGCUCAAGUGACCAUGCGUGAUGUCAUUAAAGAGGGCCCAACCAUGACAUUCCACAAUGGAUUAUUGGCCCAUGUUAUGGCUGGUUGAUCGUUUAGGAGGAGGCAGGAGGCGGACCACAGUGGAACCAGUGGUAAGAAGAGACAAUGGUACUGUGUGUGUGGCUUUACUGCGUGCGUGUGUAUGCACUGAAAUGCACUGCAUUGACACAUGUUUGAUGCCGAUUGAAACAGCAUCUACAGCGGAAGGCUGUCGUCACUAUGUGAGAGCAGCAGCCAUAUCUACUGACUGUGGUCACCCUGUGCACUGCUAAGAAUAUCCAUCACACUACUGUUAAUGGAGGAAAAAGUCACCAGAGAGGGAAGACAUUGCAACACUUCAAUGUGUGUGAUGAAUCUAAAUUGAGCCCAGGAGACAAGGAGAGUGGCAUUCUAGUCAGUUACACACACACACACACACACACACACACACACACACACACACACACACACACACACACACACACACACACACACACACUCUCUCUCUGAAAUCAGGAACCUGUCCUGCUCCAGCGGCGCUGAUGCCGGCGUGCGCACCGUGAGCUCACCUCCCGUUGCCACGGCGACACCAACCAGAGGGAAAAGCCUGGUGUGUGUGACAGAGGCCUGAGAGGGAGGAAGGAGGAGGGACUGAGGAAUUCACAUAGCACUUGGCUUGUUUCAGCACAAGUACCUUAUUCAGUUACCAGGCCUUAUCACGGAAAUGCUAAACCGACCCUUUCAAUUAUCAAGGCAAUGUCUUUAGCCCGGCCGCCUGUUUAUAAUGGCCGGCCUGGGAUUUCAAAUGAGAUGUGUCAGAAAUAGUUGGCCGACAAGGUGGACAAUAGACAUUUAUACACACAAUUGGGUAUUAUCAUGCAUUAUGUACAAUUAACACGUAUUUACACAAACAUAUAGGGAAUCAUGCAGUCAUGCACACACUCACAAAUAUGACCACCAAAUGACACACACACUCAUUUUUUUUCCAUAAACAAAAAAAUGUGACUAACAGCUGCUUUGGUGCCUGCAUUCUAUUAGUGAUUAAGAGCUAACCCAGUCUGGAGGUCGUCUGCUCAUCAAUGGUGGUGCUCCACAGCCGUGAAUGCCCUGAAUUCAUUAGUCAUCGCGCACAGAUGGUGUCUGGCUGCCUGUCUCAAGUUCAAGUUCAUGUCCAGGAGACAGAGAGAGACAUGCUGAAGCCAGACAGACCAGAUGCCACUAAGACAGAGAGAGAGACAUGCUGAAGCCAGACAGACCAGAUGCUACUGAGACAGAGAGAGAGAGACAUGCUGAAGCCAGACAGACCAGACGCUACUGAGACAGAGAGAGAGAGACAUGCUGAAGCCAGACAGACCAGAUGCUACUGAGACAGAGAGAGAGACAUGCUGAAGCCAGACAGACCAGACGCUACUGAGACAGAGAGAGAGACAUGCUGAAGCCAGACAGACCAGAUGCUACUGAUACAGAGAGAGAGACAUGCUGAAGCCAGACAGACCAGACGCUACUGAGACAGAGAGAGAGACAUGCUGAAGCCAGACAGACCAGAUGCUACUGAGACAGAGAGAGAGACAUGCUGAAGCCAGACAGACCAAACCCAACUGAGACACAGCCAUUGUUCCUCAUCUACAGUACAUGAUGCAGAAGGCCAUAGCCGUGGGAAAUAGGGGUGCUGAGGGUGCUGCAGCAACCCCUGAUAAAUCUAAAUGUUAAAAUCCACAAAAUUAGUGAACUAGGCCUUUACUACUCCUGUAUUAUUAAAUACUCUUCAGCUGUCCCUAUGCAAUAAAACAUCAGUGUUAUGACAAUACUUAAGCUAUAAUAACAGUAGCAACAGCUUGGUGACCAUUUUACAUCCUUAGUCUGACAUAGAAAUGACCUGUACAGACCUCAUCAUAAAGUCACUACCCAGAUUUCACUUGUAUUGAUUGUAAAGGCAUGAGCCCUCUACACAGAAUGAAUGCACAUACAAAAUUGGCACAAAGGUGUCAAAUAUGCUGAUUGCUUGUCCAAUGAAUAUGAAAAACCUGCCAUGGUUGCCAUGGUUAUGUUAUUCUGCCAAUCAUGUGACAACAAUGGCUGCAGAGCACUGUUUGUGUGAGUGGGAAGGGAGGGGACAGAAGAGCCAGGGUUACUGUGCAGAGAGAGGCAACGUCGUCCCCACCUAUCUCUACACGCAUAGUCAAAUAAGACGCCUAUAUUUCUCUGUGAGAAUGGACCUUUUGAAAGGGAUGGCAAGGCCUCUCGUCCUCUCCUUUCCACCAGCCUGCCUGUAUGGCAGUUUCAUAAAUAACCACAAUCAUUCUCACAUCCACUCCAAGCACUUCCUACUGUAAAAUACACUACUCAGCCAACAAAGAUGACCUAGAGAAAAGAAUAUGUAAGACUGUCUGCUGUCGGGUAUAGGCCUACAUGAAUUGUAGCUAAAUAUACAACUUGAUAGAGUAUGUAUAAUAUUACCACAGACUCGUGCCUGAUUUUCCAGUGUUCACAAGGAGACUAAAUACCAUUAACGUGAUAUACACUCCUGCUCUGGAAACAGUGUACGCCCCAUGGAAACUGCUGCCUGCCUGUUUCUAUGUUACAGCAUGCACAGCAGCAAUAUUGAGAGUGACUAUGAGGCGGAUUUGCAGCCGUUUCAGACAUGUGAUAUUGUUCUCUUCUGGCAACACUGGGCUACAUCUAGCAUUGCAUUGUGAUGGCUUACAUACUGAAGAGAAUGACUGGGGUUAACAUCCGCUGUAUGAUACAGUGCUACAUUAUGGUGAAACAUAGUGUGUGACAGCCUACAAAGAACAUGAAAGUAGGAUACUGCAAACCUGUAAGACACAAACAGGCUAGCAAGACACAAACAGACUAGUUAGACACAAACAGGCUAGCAAGACACAAUCAGGCUAGUUAGACACAAUCAGGCUAGUUAGACACAAUCAGGCUAGUUAGACACAAACAGGCUAGCAAGACACAAUCAGGCUAGUUAGACACAAACAGGCUAGCAAGACACAAUCAGGCUAGUAAGACACAAACAGGCUAGCAAGACACAAACAAACUAGUAAGACACAAACAGGCUAGUAAGACACAAACAGGCUAGUAAGACACAAACAGGCUAACAAGACACAAACAGGCUAGUAAGACACAAACGGGCUAAUAAGACACAAACAGGCUAAUAAGACACAAACAGGCUAAUAAGACACAAACGGGCUAAUAAGACACAAACAGGCUAAUAAGACACAAACAGGCUAAUAAGACACAAACGGGCUAAUAAGACACAAACAGACUAGUAAUUCUGCCCCAAAAUGCAUUUGCUGAGGAAUAAUUUGUUGAAAUGGUUGACAUGAUUUACUGUAAAAAGCAUCAAAUAGAAUUGUGGUGAAGUCACACCAUUAAACGUCUCCAGACUUCCAAUGAUGAAGAAAUGUUUUUUUUCAGUCAGUGCAGUGGCCUUUUAUACUGUGGAGAAUCAACUGAUUUAUAUAUGCUGGGUUACUUACAGACCUCAAGUUUUUAUUUACACUGCCCUGACAUUUAGUAUGGCCCCAGACUAGAAAACAAUGCAGCCAUUCAUAAGUCUAGACAACGAUUUCUAACAACUUAUCCUGGGACAAUGAAACGUGGUUAUUCGCUGCUUUUCCAAAUGGUGUUCUCAAAUCUUCUUUCAGGUAAACGUACAAUGAAUGACCUGGCAUUGUACAGGGGUCGCAACAAGACACACUAGUUUUGUCUUACGGUGUGAGAAACUCUGCAAGAGACCCCUUUCAGCCACUGUGAGCCUAUUUAACAUUGAACUUGAAUAAACCUCUACGUACUAUUGCCUACCACUGCAUACGCAGGCAGUUUAAACCUAUACAUCUUCCACAUAGGCCUAUGACCGUUCAGCUAAAAACAACGUAGACCAGCCUUUGGGCACAAACAUACACUUUCAUAUUUUAGGCUAGAGCUAAUCAAUCAAGCGCUAUAGGCUAUACAAUCAAAUCCAAUUGUAUUUGUCAUAUGCUUCGCAAACAACAGGUGCAGACUAACAGUGAAAUGCUUACAACAGGCUAUAUCAUAGGACAUUACAAAAUAUAUUUUAAAAAUUGAACCUUAAUUAACAUCUAUCUGAAAAGGCCUAAUAGGUUACUAAGACUAUGCUAAAUAUACAAUAGACCUAUUCGCAAAAUAACAAUUCAUAAUUGAAUUAAAGGCACGCGUGUAGCCUACAUGAGACUCUCGCCACGCCACAGCCGAAAAACACUAGAAUAACAAUAACCUCAUCUACAGACAACAGACCACUAACAUCCGUUAAAAAAAAAAAAACAGCCGGCACCAUACAACUGGCAUCAUAAAUGGAGUCUAUUCUCAAAUGUAGCCUAAAUAUGUAUUGUUGGAAAGCCAUCUUUUAGGAACCAUGUUUUUUACAACUCUAUUGUGUUGCCAACAAAGCCUUUAAUGUUUAUGGCGUUUGUAAAAUUCUAUCCAACUGUGUUACCAUCAAUAAAGAAACAAAACAACUAUCCCGCGGGUCACCAUGUGCCUUAUGAAUGCCAUGUGCUCCCUUUGAUAGUUAAUAAAUAAAUCCACUGGCGACUAAUAUAAUGGCCUGUAUAGUUAAUAUCAUCCAAAAUACAGACUCAGCAGCCCAGAAGCCAUCCCUGCACAUUUAGGCUAUUUCUUUCAGAUGCUUUUUAUUCGGAUGUAAAAUAUUAAUCACAAUUAAAUCAAUUAAUAUAAAUGUUGGCUUUAGCUAGGCCCACCUCUGUGAAAAAAUCCUUUAUAUUAAUUUUGCAUUGUUUUAGAAUUAAAUGUAAGAUUUAUUUAAGUCCUGUUCAAAUUCAAAUACAGAGCGCACGUGACGUGAUGUCAUCUAUUCAAUUCGUUCGACUUCUUUCGGCCUAUUGCAUUCUCCGUGACAUUAAUUAUCAUGUGUCAAACAAUAGAUCGGUGUUAGAGUGCUCAAGUAGGCCCAUAUACAAUUCCGUAAUUAUAGAACAUCUUUGUAUCGAUGCAGAAACCCAUACAGUUUUAAGAUAAUGACCCACGGUCCUAAUUGUCAGUUGCCUACAAUUGGUAACGAAUUACGCAUUCAAAACCGUUACUAGGCCGCGUCCGCUGGGUGGGCAACAGCGCCUCUUUCUAUGGGGAUGCAGAUGAGUCUGGUGCACUUGACGUCUUUUCAUGACCCCCCCCCCUCACGGCGCUGUCUGUCAUAUUCGGACUGGGCAUGGCAUUGCCACUUGCCCCCGAGCGUGGGAAUGGGUGCGUCCAGUCGUUCACAUCUCCAGCCCUGUGGUUAACUGAAUCAAUUAAGCAGGGCCGACCCGACCCCCUCUUUUAGCCCAUACCCCAAACCCUCCUCUCCAUUUUUGUCAGCUCUGUAUACGUUCUAAUUAUUGCUGUUUGGGAUGCCAGCGCCGUUUCCUGGUUGGAGUUCAUCAUGCUGAAAUAAAAAAACGUUCAUGUCAAUCUCAUUCUCAAUGCUAGCCUACAUGUAUGCUAUGGCUAGGACUCUCAGUCGGAUAUAUUUGCUAUAUCAUAUUUGCCACAUUUCAUUAUAGAAAAUAACGCAUUUCAAGAUGAAUAUAACAAGAAGAAUGAAAAUGAU
ensembl:lncRNA